rnacentral:lncRNA from 1 species
GUUUAGCCGUAGAUCUCUAUUUUUCAUCAAUAUCACACAUACCCGAAAGAAAAAAAAACAAAAAUACAUGAAAUAUAUAUACAAUAAAGAGAAUUAUAUUUAGGGUUUAUAACUAUUACUUGCAGCACAAGUAACUGGAUAAAGAGCACUUCACCUCACGGCAAGGCUCACGGUUGAUGAUGGUGGUUCUGUCGGAAAGGGUGUGGCUGAUAACUCCAUCAUAACCAAGUAAACUCAUCCUGCAAUAUUUUUAGUUUAGCCGUAGAUCUCUAUUUUUCAUCAAUAUCACACAUACCCGAAAGAAAAAAAAACAAAAAUACAUGAAAUAUAUAUACAAUAAAGAGAAUUAUAUUUAGGGUUUAUAACUAUUACUUGCAGCACAAGUAACUGGAUAAAGAGCACUUAACCUCACGGCAAGGCUCACGGUUGAUGAUGGUGGUUCUGUCGGAAAGGGUGUGGCUGAUGACAUGGCUGUGAGCUUCGGUUGUGCUUAACUCACGGUGGUGAAGAGAUAUGACAGAUCACAUCUC